rnacentral:lncRNA from 1 species
AGCGGUAAUAUUUACAUGAAUCUGCGCAUGCAAGCGCAAUCCUAGUUUCAUGAAUUCCCCCACUUGCGCGUGGGAAGGCCAAAAAGACAUUGCAACAAAAAACACAAUGGUUUGGAGAUUUUGACCCUGCGUUACGUUCCUGACGAUUAACCACAGUUAUCGAGCAACGCGCAAGCUUCGCACUCCAGCUCUAAGAAACCAUACAAACAGACGGCUUGAACCCGUCUUUUAAGUUUGAGCACAACCAAAGAGUAAAGACAAAACUCUCCAGCAGCCUUCCCCGGGCCAGCGACACAUCACCUCCCCGCUGAGUCCGCAUCUCAACAUGAACUCCAUUGAACAUCGUCAUACUAGUGCAUGGCUUCCCGCCCGUCAAAUGCCCCACCCACUACAAAUGCGCAAACAGCACACCGCGUGCAUACACUUAUGUGCGCACACACCCCGCUGCAAUUCAGUUACGCAGUGCAUACUAGACGUAGCUUUUUGAACAAUGAACGUGACCCGACUCCAUGGAAAUCCCUGACUUCCCUCUGGAACCAUCACAGUUGUGCCACGGCCUCGGCUGGGUGGCCCUCGCCUGCACCUGGCCCCACAUGCACACCAGUCGCCCCACCUAAGGCGGCAUUCUCGGGCUUCGGAUGAUGCGCGUCCCCGUGCGCGUGUGCCGCCGCAUGCACAUGUGAUGGAUCGCCAACAUGGGCCCCCAGUCCGGACGGGUCAACCACGCCACCCGAGUCACCGCCGACAAUAGACGCCGCGGCCGCCGGCGCCCCUGCCAGCAGCAGACCCAGUUGCUGUUGCAGAUCUUGCGGCGGCAGGUCACUUGGUACCGGCCCCGGUGGCACAACCGCAGUAGCAGACUUGAGGAGGCUGUCGAGGAACGGCGGCGCCAGGUGCUCGUUAUUCAUCGUCUGGAGCGCCAGCAGCGCCGCCUGGUUUGCAUCAGGAGUAGCCAGUCCACUCAGCAGUUGUUGUGGUAGCUGUGGUAGCUGGUUGAGGAGCGCGGUGAGCGC